rnacentral:rRNA from 1 species
AGUCGACGGCAGCACGGGAGCAAUCCUGGUGGCGAGUGGCGAACGGGUGAGUAAUAUAUCGGAACGUGCCCAGUCGUGGGGGAUAACGCAGCGAAAGCUGUGCUAAUACCGCAUACGAUCUCUGGAUGAAAGCGGGGGACUCGUAAGAGCCUCGCGCGAUUGGAGCGGCCGAUAUCAGAUUAGCUAGUUGGUGGGGUAAAGGCCCACCAAGGCGACGAUCUGUAGCUGGUCUGAGAGGACGACCAGCCACACUGGAACUGAGACACGGUCCAGACUCCUACGGGAGGCAGCAGUGGGGAAUUUUGGACAAUGGGCGCAAGCCUGAUCCAGCAAUGCCGCGUGCAGGAUGAAGGCCUUCGGGUUGUAAACUGCUUUUGUACGGAACGAAAAGGUCUGCCUUAAUACGGUGGGCCCAUGACGGUACCGUAAGAAUAAGCACCGGCUAACUACGUGCCAGCAGCCGCGGUAAUACGUAGGGUGCGAGCGUUAAUCGGAAUUACUGGGCGUAAAGCGUGCGCAGGCGGUUAUAUAAGACAGAUGUGAAAUCCCCGGGCUCAACCUGGGACCUGCAUUUGUGACUGUAUAGCUAGAGUACGGUAGAGGGGGAUGGAAUUCCGCGUGUAGCAGUGAAAUGCGUAGAUAUGCGGAGGAACACCGAUGGCGAAGGCAAUCCCCUGGACCUGUACUGACGCU